rnacentral:rRNA from 1 species
UACGUAGGGGGCGAGCGUUGUCCGGAGUUACUGGGCGUAAAGGGCGUGCAGGCGGUGCGGUAAGUUUAGCGUGACAGUCUCCGGCUUAACUGGAGAAGGCCGCUGAAAACUGCUGGACUUGAGGGCCAGAGAGGGACAUAGAAUUCCGGGGUGGAGUGGUGAAAUGCGUAGAUAUCCGGAGGAAUACCAAGGCGAAGGCAGUGUCCUGGCUGGCAACUGACGCUGAGGAGCGAAAGCGUGGGGAGCGAACAGG